AGUGAACGCUGGCGGUAGGCCUAACACAUGCAAGUCGAACGGCAGCACAGUAAGAGCUUGCUCUUACGGGUGGCGAGUGGCGGACGGGUGAGGAAUACAUCGGAAUCUACUUUUUCGUGGGGGAUAACGUAGGGAAACUUACGCUAAUACCGCAUACGACCUACGGGUGAAAGCAGGGGAUCUUCGGACCUUGCGCGAUUGAAUGAGCCGAUGUCGGAUUAGCUAGUUGGCGGGGUAAAGGCCCACCAAGGCGACGAUCCGUAGCUGGUCUGAGAGGAUGAUCAGCCACACUGGAACUGAGACACGGUCCAGACUCCUACGGGAGGCAGCAGUGGGGAAUAUUGGACAAUGGGCGCAAGCCUGAUCCAGCCAUACCGCGUGGGUGAAGAAGGCCUUCGGGUUGUAAAGCCCUUUUGUUGGGAAAGAAAAGCAGCAGGUUAAUACCCCGCUGUUCUGACGGUACCCAAAGAAUAAGCACCGGCUAACUUGGUG
rnacentral:rRNA from 1 species